GAUGAACGCUGGCGGCGUGCCUAAUACAUGCAAGUCGAGCGAACAGACGAGGAGCUUGCUCCUCUGACGUUAGCGGCGGACGGGUGAGUAACACGUGGAUAACCUACCUAUAAGACUGGGAUAACUUCGGGAAACCGGAGCUAAUACCGGAUAAUAUAUUGAACCGCAUGGUUCAAUAGUGAAAGACGGUUUUGCUGUCACUUAUAGAUGGAUCCGCGCCGCAUUAGCUAGUUGGUAAGGUAACGGCUUACCAAGGCAACGAUGCGUAGCCGACCUGAGAGGGUGAUCGGCCAAACUGGAACUGGGACACGGGCCCGACUCCUAAGGGGGGGAGGAGUAGGGAAACUUCCGGAAUGGGGGGAAGCCUGACGGGGCAACGCCGCGUGAGGGAUGAAGGUCUUCGGAUCGUAAAACUCUGUUAUUAGGGAAGAACAAAAGUGGAAGGAACUGUGCACAUCUUGACGGUACCUAAUCAGAAAGCCACGGCUAAAUACGUG
rnacentral:rRNA from 1 species